rnacentral:rRNA from 1 species
GACGAACGCUGGCGGCGUGCUUAACACAUGCAAGUCGAACGGCAAGGCCCUGCUUUCGUGGGGUGCUCGAGUGGCGAACGGGUGAGUAACACGUGAGUAACCUGCCCUAGACUUUGGGAUAACUUCAGGAAGCUGGAGCUAAUACCGGAUCGGAGCUCCUGCUGCAUGGUGGGGGUUGGAACGUUUCGGCGUUUGGGGAUGGACUCGCGGCUUAUCAGCUUGUUGGUGGGGGAGUGGCUUACCAAGGCUUUGGCGGGUAGCCGGCCCGGGAGGGUGACCGGCGACAUUGGGACUGAGAUAGGGCCCAGACUCCUACGGGGGGCAGCAGGGGGGAAUAUUGCACAAUGGGCGGAAGCCUGAUGCAGCAACGCCGCGUGCGGGAUGACGGCCUUCGGGUUGUAAACCGCUUUCGCCUGUGACGAAGCGUGAGUGACGGUAAUGGGUAAAGAAGCACCGGCUAACUACGUG